rnacentral:rRNA from 1 species
GACGGGGGAGGCAAGCGUUGUACGGAAUUAUUGGGCGUAAAGAGCGCGUAGGUGGUAUGUCAAGUCAUUUGUGAAAACUUUAGGCUUAACUUAAAGAUUGCAAGUGAUACUGAUAUACUUGAGCACAGCAGAGGAAAGUGGAAUUCCUGGUGUAGCGGUGAAAUGCGCAGAUAUCAGGAAGAACACCAGUGGCGAAGGCGGCUUUCUGGGCUGUUGCUGACACUGAGGCGCGAAAGCUCGGGGAGCGAACAGG